UUCAGCCUCGUACUCUAGAGAUGGAUACUGCCCAGUUUUCCUUAAUCUUCAAACAUGUAUUCUGAGCGAUCGAAGAGUAGUGAUGAUGCUGCGCUUUUAAAUGACGAAAUGAAAAUAGAAAUUACGCGUAGCAUGGAGAAUACCAGACGUCACAAGAUUAUUCCCGCCCGUUUAUGGAUGUCACACAGCUCCGCCUUCUCAACUUUGUUGAUGUAGCCUAUUCUACGCUUUUACCAAAUUAUUUAUUAAAGGUGAAAUAGUUAAAGGUU